UGCAAAUGCUGAUGCCCAUGGGAUGUUUCUGGUUUUUUGAGUGCAGUUUUUUUUUUACUGAAGCACAUCCAUAGGUUUUUCACUUCAAGAAAGCCGGUGUGUGUGUGUGUGUGUGUGUGUGUGUGUGUGUGCCAUUUUGGAAUCUGGUAAAGCGAUUUCAAGAUGCAU